UGAGGUCCUACUGAGGUGAUGUUUGUGAA
rnacentral:piRNA from 1 species